rnacentral:rRNA from 1 species
AACGAACGCUGGCGGCGUGUUUAAGACAUGCAAGUCGCACGGGAUUGAUUGAGUAGUAAUACAAGAUCAGUCUAGUGGCGCACGGGUGAGUAACAUGUGAAUUACAUGCCCUUCAGUGGGGAAUAGCCCAGGGAAACUUGGAUUAAUACCCCAUGGUAUCGCGAGAUUAAAGGUGGCCGCAAGGCUGCCGCUGAAGGAUUGGUUCGCACCCUAUCAGCUUGUUGGCGGGGUAAUGGCCCACCAAGGCUACGACGGGUACCUGGUCUGAGAGGACGAUCAGGCACACUGGAACUGAGACACGGUCCAGACACCUACGGGUGGCAGCAGUCGAGAAUAAUUCACAAUGGGGGCAACCCUGAUGGUGCAACGCCGCGUGGAGGAUGACGGUCUUCGGAUUGUAAACUCCUGUCAUCCGGGAGUAAGACCUGGUCGUUAAUAGCGAACAGGGUUGAUAGUACCGGAAGAGGAAGGGACGGCUAACUUCGUGCCAGCCGCCGCCGUAAGAC